rnacentral:lncRNA from 1 species
GGAAAGACAUAAUUAGUUUCUAAUAUAACAUGAAUGGAUCAGUUCGCAACGGAUCAAGUAUUUGUCCCAAUAAUAAAUCGGCAUUGCUUCUAGGUAAAAUAUCGAACACAUGGUGUCCUGUGCUGGCACAACAAUAGAGCUAUCUGAGGAACAGAUGCCUUUGUCAGUAGCAGAUCGAAUGAGAGGAACCCAGCAGGCAGCCUGAGAAGAAGACAAGCAGAAAUUGCCCCGGGCUCUAACCGUCUAUGGUCGACCGCAAAAUCCAUGUCGUGACCGCAAAAUCCACGGCAGUGGUCUUGUCCUCUGCUUUGUGAAUCUUCAAAUGCAUUAUUUGGAUUGCAGUAGCCACCCAUGAAGAUUAACCCGGGCUCGUUCAGUUGGAUUGCAGUAUUCAAAAAUCAUAUUAGGCACAGGCCAAAGGGACAAAAACAAGUAAUGAAAAAUAAUUGGAGAUGGAACAACGGACAGAACAGUUGAAUCACACGGUAGCACUCGUCGUGGUUGCUGAUAUUAUCGAUUCUGUAUAAUCCUUUUUUAUCUUCUUGAGUGCUACUGUGACAUCCCUCAUGACAUCCUCAGGCCAGGUGAGUCACUUGAGCAGAUCAACCCCAGCUCAAAUGUCGCCGUAAGAAAGUCAUUCAGAUUGCCGGCAAAGAAAGAAACACCUUGCAACAGCCGGUCAUCAAGAACAGAGGCAAGCUGAGCUGGAAAUGCUUGACGAACCCACCACCUAAUGCUCAAAUCUGCGACGAACAUGGGAUCUGUGGGUCUCUUUCCAGUGAAGACUUCAAGGAGCAUGAUUCCAUAACUGAAAACAUCGCUCUUGCGUGAUGCCUUCCCGUAAGAUCCAUACUCUGCUCAUGAGACCGGAAACAAAGAAUUCCAGCAAGACUGAAUCAGCACUGUUAGACAAAUAUAUACCAAACAAAAUUCAGAGUCACAGUACGGAGUAUGGACGUACCUGGUGCCAUGUACCCAAGUGUUCCAAGCAUGCUUGCAGUGAUCAUAGAGCAGUCAUCACCCAAUAGCAACUUUGCGAUUCCAAAGUCCGCUACAUGUGCUGUCAUGUCUUCAUCAAACAGCACGUUGCUAGGCUUCAAGUCACAGUGCAGGACUACCUCGUGAUGCUCAUGGUGCAGAUACUCCAUUGCCAUUGACACAUCUAGCAUGAUGUCCAGCCUCUUGAGGAACCCUAAGUGCUCUAUGCUGUCAGAUUGCAAGAGCAUCUCUAAGCUACCACGGGGCAUAUAUUGAAGCACCAAUGCCUUGAACUCCACAUUGGAGCAGACAUUCAAUAUCUUUAUCAAGUUCCUAUGCCGAGCCAUGCGAAGUGUGCUGCACUCAGCAUCAAAGCUUCUAAUGGCCUGCUCCUGCUGCAUGUCUAGAACUUUUACUGCCACCGUGAAACCGGUACUAAGUUGACCUUUAUAGACCUUUCCAAAGCUCCCAGUCCCCAACAGGUUGUCGUCACUAAAAUUACUGGUGGCAAGGACAAGCUCAUGGUAUGACAGGUGCCCAUGGUACAUAACAUUUCUAGGAUCAAUGACAGAAUCUUCAACCUCUCCCUUAUUUUUAAUUUUCUUUCUAAUGGUUUGGUAGAUGAAAAUAAUAGUACACCCAAAUGCUAUGGUUACAGAAGGGAGCAGGAAUCUUAGAAAGGGCGUCGUAUUUGAGUGAGGUUUUUCCAUACAUGGAGAGAAUCCUAAACGAGGUAUGCCACAAAGCCCAACAUUCCCAACCAAAGAUUGCAACGAGAUGUUAGAGAAAACACCGCCCUCUGGUACCUUGCCUUGUAGAUUAUUAAAGGAGAGAUUUAAAGUUUUCAAGAAGGUUAAAUUGGCUAGGAACAUGGGAAUGGUACCUGAGAAAUUAUUGGAGGAGAGGUCCAACAACUCGAGGCUCCUCAGCUCUUUAAAUGACAGGGGGAUUGAGUCCUCAAAUGAAUUGUGCGAUAGGAUUAGAUAGCUGAGCAUGCUUAGUUUCUCAAAUGAUUUGGGGAUGCUUCCAAGCAAAAAGUUGAAAGAAAGGUCAAUUGUAACCACUUGUUUCAUCCCACCAACGUCACUUGGUAGUUUACCAGAAAAGGAAUUGAUAGAAAGAUCUAGCAAUAUAAUUUUGUCAAGGCGGAACAAACUUGCCGGUAUAGUUGAAUUGAAUUGGUUGUCAGACAACGAGACGUAUUCUAGCAUGGUAAGAUUUCCAAUGCUAUCAGGUAUAGUGCCAUGAAAUCUAUUUCCAUAGAGAUAAAGCAAUUGUAAGUUUCUGAGCAUACCAAUUUGUGCCGGGAUAGUCCCUAGCAUGUCAUUAUGAGAGACAUCAAGCCAAACGAGAUUUUGCAUCCUCGUGAUAGAUUCUGGGAUCUCUCCUGUGAGCUGGUUGUUGGCAAGAUAAAUAAUCUCAAGACUGCUCAAGUUCGACAGUGAGGAUGGAAGCCCACCUGUUAGCUUGUUGUCACCAAGUCUAAACUCAAAUAAUUGUGCAGACAGAUUCCCCACAGUGUCAGGGAUUCGUCCGGUGAAAGAAUUAUAAUCUAGUACAAGGUGUUGGAGUCGCACAGAGCUGGAAAGAGAUGACAGGAAGUUAAGAUUCCCACUCAAAUUAUUAGAUUGCAGCUUAAGCAAGUUCAAAGUUGGUAUGUUCCCAAGUGUUUGUGGUACGGAUCCUGACAAUAUAUUAUAACACAAUGCUAGGAAAGUCAGUUUUGAUAAAUUUCCAAGAGAAGGUGGAAUUGGACCUGUUAGCAAAUUCACUCCGAGAUGCAAAUACGAGAGUUCUUGCAUGAGGCCUAAUUCUUUUUGAAUCUCUCCUGUCAGGUUGUUGAAAGGAAGGUAAAGUAUAUUGAGAUGGGUGAGAUUGCUAAGAACAGCUGGGACAGAGCCAUGUAAGGAAUUAGCACCCAAGUUUAGAUAGGUAAGCAUGGGCAGUGAGCCUAUUCCUUGGGGUAUUGGACCUGAUAGGCUAUUGUUUGAGAGGUUGAUGUGGUUGAGGGAAGGUGUGUUAUUGAACAGAUACAAUGGUAUGUUGCCACUCAACUCAUUCCCUGCUAGAGUAAACCACUGAAGGUUUCUCAUGCUUUGCAGUAACCGUGGUGGAAUCUGCCCCGAGAGGGUGUUGUUACUUAGGCGAAGAAACUCGAGGCUUUUGAGGUUUCCUAUGGUACUAGGAAUGGCGCCUGAGAGGCCAUUUCCACGAAGAUCGAGGAAUCUAAGUCGAUGUAGCCUUCCAAUUUCAGGAGGGAUGAGUCCAGCGACACCAAUUCUUGUGAGGUUGAGCAUGGUGAGGAAGGAAAGAUUACCGAGGUGUUGGCUGAGCGGUCCAUGGAGGGGCACGUCCACCAAACGUAGAGCCGUGACGCGCGGCCGGUGGUGGCUGCACGAGACCCCGACCCAUCGACAGAAGGAUACGUUGGAUGUCCAGCUACCGGCGAGGAUUCCGAGAGGAUCAGAGAGCAGCGAUUUGAAAGCCAACAGGGCAGCGAGGUCAGUGUAGCUGCCGUUAACAUUGGUGACGCUUGGGCUUGGAGAUGAAGAAACGACAGCAGGCAAUAGGAUUGGUACCAAGAUGGCCAAAAACACUAGAGGGACCGGGUAGCUUGCAAUGGCCAUUGUUGUGUAUUUUUGGGCUGAUAGGUCAUAGGUGGCAAUGUUAUAUACUUAUAUGUAUUUUUGGGUCAUAGGUCAUAGGUCACAUGUCAAAGUCUUGACUCGUGUUUCGUCUUGACUCGUGUUUCCUUUAUUUAUUUGUCACACGGUAUAUUUCUAUGGUGGCAAAAAAAACAGUGUCACUAUUAUCUUGACUCGUGAAGUCAGCAAAGAUCUUUUAUAUUACUAUAAAGUAAUAAACAUUUAGAGAUAUUUUGCUAAAUGUGAAUCCACGAUCUCGCUAUCUAGCGAUCGACAUUUCAUGAAUAUUGCUGCCUUUUAUAUUUACACACAUACAAUUCACUGAACGGAGAGUGUGUGCUGUCUCAUUGGAUGUUGCCAGCUUGUGCGAAGACUAGAAUGUUGGCGGUCGUUGCACGGCAAAUUCCUGUCAGGUCAUUACGGGUUAGACAAGACGUGAAGACGAUGAUGGGUUGAAUAUUCUCUAGUACCUUUGCGGCCAUAGCCUCGUAUAGGCUACCGUCGAAUGCUACUUCCUGAUCAAUAACUCUACAGACGUAAAGACUGAUGUGGAUUAGUGUUGGUUCAUUUAUAUGGUAAUUUUUUUUCGUUUUGAAAUUUUCUCUUCAGGGUAGGAUAUAUCGAUCUCUCAGUGCAAAAUUGAAGGAUAUAUAUGCAUGUCUCGUAGGUGACACAGGUUAUGAACCACGACUAACAGGGUAUUUCCAAAGGACAGAAGCAGAGGAGCCCAUCCUGAUCAAUGUACAAAUUAAAUUAGUGACCAUGCUUCAUUACACUACACUCAUGGAAAAAAGAACGCAUUUAUUCUAUUAUGAAAAGUUAACGAAACACUGUAAUUAUAAGCUUGGAUAUGCGUUGUUAAACUGAAAACAAAGUAUUUUAUUAGCUAAAAAAAUCAAUAAACUGGAUUAUUACAAAGUAACAUGCACUAGCAGUAGAUGAUGUUCCCAUUUUUCAGAUAGUCUUUUGCAUUUGUCUCUGAAGCGGUCAAUUCUAAUGAAGUUGCCAUAUUUUCUUUGUGGCCCCUUUAUCCACCAAAUAACUGCUAGGAAGUUGAGAUCCACAUGGAGGAAAUUUAGUCAUUUACAAGAUGCAACAAGUAGUUCAUACUAUACCCGCUGCUGCUGGUAAGUAUCCAGCCAACAGCUUCGUAUCCAUCGUUAAUUCAAUAGCCACCAUUCACCACGAAAACAUCAUUUCAACAGAUUAUGAUAUACACUAUGAUUUCGCAAAGAAAUAAAUUUGCGCAGCUGUGAAAGAAACAUGGGGACAUUCAUACCCUGUGUUAUGUGCAUACUAAUGAAUACAGUUGAUCGUAAACAAAUUGCUGGAUGCUAACUGCACCAUCAUGGCUACACAAUUACAAAUUCGAAAGUUAUUUCAGUUAGUGAGGCGGAAAUCACAAACUAUUUUUCAUUCGUUGGAUGCUAACUGCACCAUCAUGCAGAGUUUGGAGAGCAGAGUGGAAAGACAUAAUUAGUUUCUAAUAUAACAUGAAUGGAUCAGUUCGCAACGGAUCAAGUAUUUGUCCCAAUAAUAAAUCGGCAUUCCUUCUAGGUAAAAUAUCGAACACAUGGUGUCCUGUGCUGGCACAACAAUAGAGCUAUCUGAGCAACAGAUGCCUUUGUCAGUAGCAGAUCGAAUGAGAGGAACCCAGCAGGCAGCCUGAGAAGAAGACGAGCAGAAAUUGCCCCGGGCUCUAACCGUCUAUGGUCGACCGCAAAAUCCAUGUCGUGACCGCAAAAUCCACGGCAGUGGUCUUGUCCUCUGCUUUGUGAAUCUUCAAAUGCAUUAUUUGGAUUGCAGUAGCCACCCAUGAAGAUUAACCCGGGCUCGUUCAGUUGGAUUGCAGUAUUUCAAAAAUCAUAUUAGGCACAGGCCAAAGGGACAAAACAAGUAAUGAAAAAUAAUUGGAGAUGGAACAACCGACAUAACAGUUGAAUCACAGGGUAGCACUCGUCGUGGUUGCUGAUAUUAUCGAUUCUGUAUAAUCCUUUUUUAUCUUCUUGAGUGCUACUGUGACAUCCCUCAUUGACAUCCUCUGGUCAGGUGAGUCACUUGAGCAGAUCAAACCCAGCUCAAAUGUCGCUGUAAGAAAGUCAUUCAGAUUGCCGGCUGAGGAAGAAACACCUUGCAACAGCCGGUCAUCAAGAACAGAGGCAAGCUGAGCUGGAAAUGCUUGACGAACCCACCACCUAAUGCUCAAAUCGGUGACGAACAUGGGAUCUGUGGGUCUCUUUCCAGUGAAGACUUCAAGGAGCAUGAUUCCAUAACUGAAAACAUCGCUCUUGCGUGAUGCCUUCCCGUAAGAUCCA